AACGAACGCUGGCGGCAUGCCUAACACAUGCAAGUCGAACGAGACCACCGGGAGUAGUGGCGCACGGGUGUGUAACGCGUGGGAAGCUGCACUUAGGUUUGGAAUAACUCUCUGACAGGGGUGAUAACAUCGGAUAACGUAUUCGGACAAAAGAUUUAUCGCGGUUGGGUGUGCACGCGUUGGUUUAGCUUGUUGGUAGGGUAAAAGCCUACCAAGGCGACGCUCCAUAGCUGGUCAGAGAGAAAGGGCCGCCACACUGGGACUGAGACGCGGCCCAGACUCCUACGGGAUGCAGCAGUGGGGAAUAUAGGACAAUGGGCUAAGGCAUGAUCCAGCUAGGCCGCGAGAGUGAUGAAGGCCUUAGGGAAGUAAAGCUCUUUUACCCGGGAUGAUAAUGACGGUACCGAGAGAAUAAGCACCGGCUAACUCCGUG
rnacentral:rRNA from 1 species